UAGGGAAUCUUCGGCAAUGGACGAAAGUCUGACCGAGCAACGCCGUGUGAGUGAAGAAGGUUUUCGGAUCGUAAAACUCUGUUGUUUGAGAAGAACAAGGACGUUAGUAACUGAACGUCCCCUGACGGUAUCUAACCAGAAAGCCACGGCUAACUACGUGCCAGCAGCCGCGGUAAUACGUAGGUGGCAAGCGUUGUCCGGAUUUAUUGGGCGUAAAGCGAGCGCAGGCGGUUUCUUAAGUCUGAUGUGAAAGCCCCCGGCUCAACCGGGGAGGGUCAUUGGAAGCUGGGAGACUUGAGAGCAGAAGAGGAGGGUGGGAUUCCAUGUGUAGCGAUGAAAUGCGUAGAUAUAUGGAGGAACACCAGUGGAGAAGGCGGAUCUAUGGUCUGUAACUGACGAUGAGGGUAGAAAGCGUGGGGAGCAAACAGG
rnacentral:rRNA from 1 species